rnacentral:lncRNA from 1 species
AAAACCGCAGAGUGGCGCUACUGCAGUAUUUGUUUGGUCGACACACCACGUUGGUUGUAGUGAAUGCUCCUUGCAGUAAGGUGGUAUUUGAGUUAUAUUUUAGAAGUGCCUAGACAAAACGUGCUCCUUGUCGUGUGCAGUAACCAUCCCAAACCCUCCGGACUCGUGUAACGCCAUUAGUUCGCCGUGUGUUUCGAGCGAUCCACCAGUGUCGUCAGUGAGUGCCCUAGUACAGCGCCCGUCCGAGCUGCCUUUGUUCUGCCGAGCUGCCUGCCCGCGCUCUCGUGAAAAGUCUGGUACUGGGGCUUAGAAUUGUAGUGUUUGGAAGACUGAUGAAGGUUGUGCUUUUGUGGAGCUGGAAUUCAUCGGAAGUUCUACAGUGCUUGCGCCAGAGAAACGUCGGUGCCUCUGUACCUGUUAGACGAAGGAGCGUUUGCCAAGUCUUGAAAGGUAGACAUCGGUGAUGGUGUAUACGUUGAAAAGGGCAUGCUGAAGAGGCUGUGCCUGGAUGCUAACAACUCAGGAUUUCACUUCGCGGAGGGCCUCCUUAAAGCUCCUUUUUCAAUAGAAGACGUUGAAGGGAGGUCCUUCUUUGGGCGGCUGUCAAAUGCCUUCCUCAGAAGGAUCCGUUGGAUUCCAAGAAGGUCAACACCAUAGUAGACUACACAACGCAACAUUUCAGCCUACUUCCAGGGCAGCUGGAGAACUCGUCCUCCUUACUAGCCCGGGGAUAUUAAAUGGAUGUGUUCAAGCACAAA